rnacentral:rRNA from 1 species
GCUCAACCGGGGAGGGUCAUUGGAAACUGGGGAACUUGAGUGCAGAAGAGGAGAGUGGAAUUCCACGUGUAGCGGUGAAAUGCGUAGAGAUAUGGAGGAACACCAGUGGCGAAGGCGACUCUCUGGUCUGUAACUGACGCUGAGGCGCGAAAGCGUGGGGAGCGAACAGGAUUAGAUACCCUGGUAGUCCACGCCGUAAACGAUGAGUGCUAAGUGUUAGAGGGUUUCCGCCCUUUAGUGCUGCAGCAAACGCAUUAAGCACUCCGCCUGGGGAGUACGGUCGCAAGACUGAAACUCAAAGGAAUUGACGGGGGCCCGCACAAGCGGUGGAGCAUGUGGUUUAAUUCGAAGCAACGCGAAGAACCUUACCAGGUUUUGACAUCCUCUGACAACCCUAGAGAUAGGGCUUCCCCUUCGGGGGCAGAGUGACAGGUGGUGCAUGGUUGUCGUCAGCUCGUGUCGUGAGAUGUUGGGUUAAGUCCCGCAACGAGCGCAACCCUUGAUCUUAGUUGCCAGCAUUCAGUUGGGCACUCUAAGGUGACUGCCGGUGACAAACCGGAGGAAGGUGGGGAUGACGUCAAAUCAUCAUGCCCCUUAUGACCUGGCUACACACGUGCUACAAUGGGCAGAACAAAG